GAUGAACGCUGGCGGCGUGCCUAAUACAUGCAAGUCGUGCGAACAGAUGAGGAGCUUGCUCCUCUGACGUUAGCGGCGGACGGGUGAGUAACACGUGGAUAACCUACCUAUAAGACUGGGAUAACUUCGGGAAACCGGAGCUAAUACCGGAUAAUAUAUUGAACCGCAUGGUUCAAUAGUGAAAGACGGUUUUGCUGUCACUUAUAGAUGGAUCCGCGCCGCAUUAGCUAGUUGGUAAGGUAACGGCUUACCAAGGCAACGAUGCGUAGCCGACCUGAGAGGGUGAUCGGCCACACUGGAACUGAGACACGGUCCAGACUCCUACGGGAGGCAGCAGUAGGGAAUCUUCCGCAAUGGGCGAAAGCCUGACGGAGCAACGCCGCGUGAGUGAUGAAGGUCUUCGGAUCGUAAAACUCUGUUAUUAGGGAAGAACAAAUGUGUAAGUAACUAUGCACGUCUUGACGGUACCUAAUCAGAAAGCCACGGCUAACUACGUG
rnacentral:rRNA from 1 species